rnacentral:rRNA from 1 species
ACGAACGCUGGCGGCGUGCUUAACACAUGCAAGUCGAACGAAAAGAGGGAAAGAGCUUGCUCUUUCCGGAAUUGAGUGGCAAACGGGUGAGUAACACGUAAACAACCUGCCUUCAGGAUGGGGACAACAGACGGAAACGACUGCUAAUACCGAAUAAGUUCCAAGGGCCGCAUGGCCCAUGGAAGAAAAGGUGGCCUCUACCUGUAAGCUAUCGCCUGAAGAGGGGUUUGCGUCUGAUUAGCUGGUUGGAGGGGUAACGGCCCACCAAGGCGACGAUCAGUAGCCGGUCUGAGAGGAUGAACGGCCACACUGGAACUGAGACACGGUCCAGACUCCUACGGGAGGCAGCAGUGGGGAAUCUUCCGCAAUGGGCGAAAGCCUGACGGAGCAACGCCGCGUGAGUGAUGACGGCCUUCGGGUUGUAAAACUCUGUGAUCCGGGACGAAAAGGCAGAGUGCGAAGAACAAACUGCAUUGACGGUACCGGAAAAGCAAGCCACGGCUAACUACGUG